GACGAACGCUGGCGGCGUGCCUAAUACAUGCAAGUCGAACGCUUCUUUUCUACCGAGUGCUUGCACUCACUUGAAAAGAAGAGUGGCGAACGGGUGAGUAACACGUGGGUAACCUGCCCAUCAGAAGGGGAUAACACUUGGAAAUAGGUGCUAAUACCGUAUAACAAUAGGAACCGCAUGGUUCCAACUUGAAAGGCGCUUUCGGGUGUCGCUGAUGGAUGGACCCGCGGUGCAUUAGCUAGUUGGUGAGGUAACGGCUCACCAAGGCAAUGAUGAAUAGCCGACCUGAGAGGGUGAUCGGCCACACUGGGACUGAGACAAGGCCCAGACUCCUACGGGAGGCAGCAGUAGGGGAUCUUCGGCAAUGGACGAAAGUCUGACCGAGCAACGCCGCGUGAGUGAAGAAGGUUUUCGGAUCGUAAAACUCUGUGGUUAGAGAAGAACAAGGAUGAGAGUAACUGUUCAUCCCUUGACGGUAUCUAACCAGAAAGCCACGGCUAACUACGUGCCAGCAGCCGCCGUAA
rnacentral:rRNA from 1 species